UGCAGCAGGUCUGGAGUGAGAUCAAAGAUUCUACAUUCUGACAAGCUGCCAGCUCCUCGUUCUAAGACCCUGCUCUGAGUAAUGAGGUCUUAGGUAGAGAGCUCUGGCUGUGGAGUUGAACAGAUUCAAACUUAAAUAUGGUUGCUAAUUACCCUCAAGGAUAUUGGGCUUCACGGCCACUCGGAUGGAAGUGAGAGACCUGCGCAACAGGGAACACUGUAAACAUGAAUCGCUAGGUGUCCUGGGGGAACCUGUAACCUAAACUCUGUGGAAAGCAGUUCCACUUUGAGAAGUUGGAUUAUCAAAGAAGACAUUGAGAGUGUUGCCAAGAUAACAACGAGAACAAGUUUAAAUGAUUUAUAUAUAUAUAUAACAACUUCUACUGGAACAUCAGAAAAAAUCCAUGACCCAUUGGAUGAAGAAAUGGCACCAACAUGUAAGGAUCAUAGAGGGAAUGGGGAUGAGGAUACGACAGGUUUAAAUUCUUCAGUCUCUCCAAGCAUUCGGAUUUUGUAGAGUCUGAGAGGAUCUCUACCUCCAUUGCUGCUUGAGUCAGCCAGGAAGUUCUCAGUAUAAUCACAGCAUGGUGUGGGGAGAUAGCAGCUUCUUAACUGCAAACAACAGCUCAGAUCCUGCCUUUUGAGAAAGGAGCUGGACCCCUGUGAAAGCUGAAUUUCCCAUGAUACACCCUGAAUUAGCUAGCACUGGAGCCAGAAGCAAGGCCAAGUCAUAACAUCUGCAAAAAUGCAUCAGUGGAGAGUGUUCGGUUUUGUUUUGAUUUUUGUUUCUGGCUAACACUAGAAAUAACACUUCAGUAAAUUUCAA